rnacentral:rRNA from 1 species
UACGGAGGGUGCGAGCGUUAUUCGGAAUAACUGGGCGUAAAGGGCACGCAGGCGGGUUUUUAAGUGAGAUGUGAAAUCCCCGGGCUUAACCUGGGAAUAGCAUUUGAGACUGGGAGUCUAGAGUACUUUAGGGGGGGGUAGAAUUCCACGUGUAGCGGUGAAAUGCGUAGAGAUGUGGAGGAACACCAGAGGCGAAGGCAGCCCCUUGGGAAUGUACUGACGCUCAGGUGCGAAAGCGUGGGGAGCAAACAGG